AUAAAUUCUAUGAAAGAAAAGAGUAAGCUAUAUAUCUGUUCUAAAUAUUUACUCUAAAGUAAAUACCAUAAGAGAGCUAACGCUUGGUGAAAGUUAGUGUUCAGAAUAUAUCCGAAAAUCCUUCUUGAGAAGUGAAACUGAAACUUAUAAUUUAAGUAAGUUUUACCGGAUUUCCACCGUUAAAAAGAAAGCGUAUCAAUAGCGUACGUGUUUUGAGCUGCCAUAAAUUAAUUAUUUAUGGAAUCAGGGUGGUAACGCGAGUAUAACUCGUCCCUUUA
rnacentral:ncRNA from 1 species